rnacentral:rRNA from 1 species
UACGUAGGGGGCAAGCGUUGUCCGGAUUUAUUGGGCGUAAAGAGCGUGUAGGCGGUCAGGUAGGUCCGUUGUGAAAACUCGAGGCUCAACCUCGAGACGCCGAUGGAAACCAUCUGACUAGAGUCCGGAAGAGGAGAGUGGAAUUCCUGGUGUAGCGGUGAAAUGCGCAGAUAUCAGGAGGAACACCGGUGGCGAAGGCGGGUCUCUGGGCCGAUACUGACGCUGAGGAGCGAAAGCAUGGGUAGCGAACAGG